rnacentral:rRNA from 1 species
AGACGGGGACCCGGCACAAGCGGUGGAUGAUGUGGAUUAAUUCGAUGCAACGCGAAAACCUUACCUACCUUGACAUGUCCGGAAUCCCGAAGAGAUUUGGGAGUGCUCGCAAGAGAACCGGAACACAGGUGCUGCAUGGCUGUCGUCAGCUCGUGUCGUGAGAUGUUGGGUUAAGUCCCGCAACGAGCGCAACCCUUGUCAUUAGUUGCCAUCAUUUGGUUGGGCACUCUAAUGAGACUGCCGGUGACAAACCGGAGGAAGGUGGGGAUGACGUCAAGUCCUCAUGGCCCUUAUGGGUAGGGCUUCACACGUCAUACAAUGGUCGGUACAGAGGGUUGCCAAGCCGCGAGGUGGAGCCAAUCCCAGAAAGCCGAUCGUAGUCCGGAUUGUUCUCUGCAACUCGAGAGCAUGAAGUCGGAAUCGCUAGUAAUCGCGGAUCAGCAUGUCGCGGUGAAUACGUUCCCGGGUCUU